CUGAUGGAUGGGUGGGCUAUGGGGUGGAUGAACUGAUGGAUGGGUGGGUUAUAGAGAGGUGGAUGAACUGAUGGAUGGGUGGGUUAUGGGGGUUGGAUGAACUGAUGGAUGGGUGGGUUAUGGGGGUGGAUGAACUGAUGGAUGGGUGGGUUAUGGGGUGGAUGAACUGAUGGAUGGGUGGGCUAUGGGGUGGAUGAACUGAUGGAUGGGUGGGUUAUGGAGGUGGAUGAACUGAUGGAUGGGUGGGUUAUGGGGGUGGAUGAACUGAUGGAUGGGUGGGUUAUAGGGGGUGGAUGAACUGAUGGAUGGAUGGGUUAUGGGGGUGGAUGAACUGAUGGAUGGGUGGGUUAUGGGGUGGAUGAACUGAUGGAUAGGUGGGUUAUGGGGGUGGAUGAACUGAUGGAUGGGUGGGUUAUGGGGUGGAUGAACUGAUGGAUGGGUGGGCUAUGGGGUGGAUGAACUGAUGGAUGGGUGGGUUAUGGGGGGUGGAUGAACUGAUGGAUGGGUGGGUUAUGGAGGUGGAUGAACUGAUGGAUGGGUGGGUUAUGGGGGUGGAUGAACUGAUGGAUGGGUGGGUUAUAGGGGGUGGAUGAACUGAUGGAUGGAUGGGUUAUGGGGGUGGAUGAACUGAUGGAUGGGUGGGUUAUGGGGUGGAUGAACUGAUGGAUGGGUGGGUUAUGGGGGGUGGAUGAACUGAUGGAUGGAUGGGUUAUGGGGGUGGAUGAACUGAUGGAUGGGUGGGUUAUGGGGUGGAUGAACUGAUGGAUGGGUGGGUUAUGGAGGUGGAUGAAAUGAUGGAUGGAUGGGUUAUGGGGGUGGAUGAACUGAUGGAUGGGUGGGUUAUGGGGGUGGAUGAACUGAUGGAUGGGUGGGUUAUGGGGGUGGAUGAACUGAUGGAUGGGUGGGUUAUGGGGGUGGAUGAACUGAUGGAUGGAUGGGUUAUGGGGGUGGAUGAACUGAUGGAUGGAUGGGUUAUGGGGGUGGAUGAACUGAUGGAUGGGUGGGCUAUGGGGUGGAUGAACUGAUGGAUGGGUGGGUUAUGGGGUGGAUGAACUGAUGGAUGGGUGGGUUAUGGGGGGUGGAUGAACUGAUGGAUGGAUGGGUUAUGGGGGUGGAUGAACUGAUGGAUGGGUGGGUUAUGGGGGUGGAUGAACUGAUGGAUGGAUGGGUUAUGGGGGUGGAUGAACUGAUGGAUGGGUGGGUUAUGGGGGUGGAUGAACUGAUGGAUGGAUGGGUUAUGGGGGUGGAUGAACUGAUGGAUGGAUGGGUUAUGGGGGUGGAUGAACUGAUGGAUGGGUGGGUUAUGGGGUGGAUGAACUGAUGGAUGGGUGGGUUAUGGGGGUGGAUGAACUGAUGCAUGGAUGGGUUAUGGGGGUGGAUGAACUGAUGGAUGGGUGGGUUAUGGGGGUGGAUGAACUGAUGGAUGGAUGGAUGGGUUAUAGGGGUGGAUGAACUGAUGGAUGGAUGGGUUAUGGGGGUGGAUGAACUGAUGCAUGGAUGGGUUAUGGGGGUGGAUGAACUGAUGGAUGGGUGGGUUAUGCGGUGGAUGAACUGAUGGAUGGGUGGGCUAUGGGGUGGAUGAACUGAUGGAUGGGUGGGUUAUGGGGGUGGAUGAACUGAUGGAUGGGUGGGUUAUGGAGGUGGAUGAACUGAUGGAUGGGUGGGUUAUGGGGGUGGAUGAACUGAUGGAUGGGUGGGUUAUGGGGUGGAUGAACUGAUGGAUGGGUGGGUUAUGAAGGGUGGAUGAACUGAUGGAUGGAUGGGUUAUGGGGGUGGAUGAACUGAUGGAUGGGUGGGCUAUGGGGUGGAUGAACUGAUGGAUGGGUGGGUUAUGGGGUAGAUGAACUGAUGGAUGGGUGGGUUAUAGAGAGGUGGAUGAACUGAUGGAUGGGUGGGUUAUAGGGGUGGAUGAACUGAUGGAUGGGUGGGUUAUGGGGUGGAUGAACUGAUGGAUGGGUGGGUUAUGGGGUGGAUGACUGAUGGAUGGGUGGGUUAUGGGGGUGGAUGAACUGAUGGAUGGGUGGGUUAUGGAGGUGGAUGAACUGAUGGAUGGGUGGGUUAUGGGGGUGGAUGAACUGAUGGAUGGGUGGGUUAUGGAGGGGUGGAUGAACUGAUGGAUGGGUGGGUUAUGGGGUGGAUGAACUGAUGGAUGGAUGGGUUAUGGGGGUGGAUGAACUGAUGGAUGGGUGGGUUAUGGGGGUGGAUGAACUGAUGGAUGGGUGGGUUAUGGGGGUGGAUGAACUGAUGGAUGGGUGGGUUAUGGGGGUGGAUGAACUGAUGGAUGGGUGGGUUAUGGGGGUGGAUGAACUGAUGGAUGGGUGGGUUAUGGAGGGGUGGAUGAACUGAUGGAUGGGUGGGUUAUGGGGUGGAUGAACUGAUGGAUGGGUGGGUUAUGGAGGUGGAUGAACUGAUGGAUGGAUGGGUUAUGGGGGUGGAUGAACUGAUGGAUGGGUGGGUUAUGGGGUGGAUGAACUGAUGGAUGGGUGGGCUAUGGGGUGGAUGAACUGAUGGAUGGGUGGGUUAUGGGGGUGGAUGAACUGAUGGAUGGGUGGGUUAUAGAGGUGGAUGAACUGAUGGAUGGGUGGGUUAUGGGGGUGGAUGAACUGAUGGAUGGAUGGAUGGGUUAUAGGGGUGGAUGAACUGAUGGAUGGAUGGGUUAUGGGGGUGGAUGAACUGAUGGAUGGGUGGGUUAUGGGGUGGAUGAACUGAUGGAUGGGUGGGUUAUGAAGGGUGGAUGAACUGAUGGAUGGAUGGGUUAUGGGGGUGGAUGAACUGAUGGAUGGGUGGGCUAUGGGGUGGAUGAACUGAUGGAUGGGUGGGUUAUGGGGUAGAUGAACUGAUGGAUGGGUGGGUUAUAGAGAGGUGGAUGAACUGAUGGAUGGGUGGGUUAUAGGGGUGGAUGAACUGAUGGAUGGGUGGAUUAUGGGGGUGGAUGAACUGAUGGAUGGGUGGGUUAUGGGGUGGAUGAACUGAUGGAUGGGUGGGUUAUGGGGGGUGGAUGAACUGAUGGAUGGGUGGGUUAUGGGGGGUGGAUGAACUGAUGGAUGGGUGGUUAUGGGGUGGAUGAACUGAUGGAUGGGUGGGUUAUGGGGGUGGAUGAACUGAUGGAUGGAUGGGUUAUGGAGGUGGAUGAACUGAUGGAUGGGUGGGUUAUGGAGGUGGAUGAACUGAUGGAUGGGUGGGUUAUGGAGGGGUGGAUGAACUGAUGGAUGGGUGGGUUAUGGGGUGGAUGAACUGAUGGAUGGAUGGGUUAUGGGGGUGGAUGAACUGAUGGAUGGGUGGGUUAUGGGGGUGGAUGAACUGAUGGAUGGGUGGGUUAUGGGGGUGGAUGAACUGAUGGAUGGGUGGGUUAUGGGGGUGGAUGAACUGAUGGAUGGGUGGGUUAUGGGGGUGGAUGAACUGAUGGAUGGGUGGGUUAUGGGGUGGAUGAACUGAUGGAUGGGUGGGUUAUAGAGGUGGAUGAACUGAUGGAUGGGUGGGUUAUGGAGGGGUGGAUGAACUGAUGGAUGGAUGGGUUAUGGAGGGGUGGAUGAUCUGAUGGAUGGGUGGGUUAUAGAGGUGGAUGAACUGAUGGAUGGGUGGGUUAUGGAGGGGUGGAUGAACUGAUGGAUGGGUGGGUUAUGGAGGUGGAUGAACUGAUGGAUGGGUGGGCUAUGGGGUGGAUGAACUGAUGGAUGGGUGGGCUAUGGGGUGGAUGAACUGAUGGAUGGGUGGGUUAUGGGGUGGAUGAACUGAUGGAUGGGUGGGUUAUGGAGGUGGAUGAACUGAUGGAUGGAUGGGUUAUGGGGGUGGAUGAACUGAUGGAUGGGUGGGUUAUGGGGUGGAUGAACUGAUGGAUGGGUGGGCUAUGGGGUGGAUGAACUGAUGGAUGGGUGGGCUAUGGGGUGGAUGAACUGAUGGAUGGGUGGGUUAUGGGGUGGAUGAACUGAUGGAUGGGUGGGUUAUGGAGGUGGAUGAACUGAUGGAUGGAUGGGUUAUGGGGGUGGAUGAACUGAUGGAUGGGUGGGUUAUGGGGUGGAUGAACUGAUGGAUGGGUGGGUUAUGGGGGUGGAUGAACUGAUGGAUGGGUGGGUUAUAGAGGUGGAUGAACUGAUGGAUGGGUGGGUUAUGGGGGUGGAUGAACUGAUGGAUGGGUGGGUUAUGGGGGUGGAUGAACUGAUGGAUGGGUGGGUUAUGGGGGUGGAUGAACUGAUGGAUGGGUGGGUUAUGGGGUGGAUGAACUGAUGGAUGGGUGGGUUAUGGGGGUGGAUGAACUGAUGGAUGGAUGGGUUAUGGGGGUGGAUGAACUGAUGGAUGGAUGGGUUAUGGGGGUGGAUGAACUGAUGGAUGGAUGGGUUAUGGAGGUGGAUGAACUGAUGGAUGGAUGGGUUAUGGGGGUGGAUGAACUGAUGGAUGGGUGGGUUAUGGGGUGGAUGAACUGAUGGAUGGGUGGGUUAUGGGGGUGGAUGAACUGAUGCAUGGAUGGGUUAUGGGGGUGGAUGAACUGAUGGAUGGGUGGGUUAUGGGGGUGGAUGAACUGAUGGAUGGAUGGAUGGGUUAUGGGGGUGGAUGAACUGAUGGAUGGGUGGGUUAUGGGGUGGAUGAACUGAUGGAUGGGUGGGUUAUGGGGGUGGAUGAACUGAUGGAUGGAUGGGUUAUGGGGGUGGAUGAACUGAUGGAUGGAUGGGUUAUGGGGUGGAUGAACUGAUGGAUGGGUGGGUUAUGGGGGUGGAUGAACUGAUGGAUGGAUGGGUUAUGGGGGUGGAUGAACUGAUGGAUGGAUGGGUUAUGGGGGUGGAUAAACUGAUGGAUGGGUGGGUUAUGGGGUGGAUGAACUGAUGGAUGGGUGGGUUAUGGGGGUGGAUGAACUGAUGCAUGGAUGGGUUAUGGGGGUGGAUGAACUGAUGGAUGGAUGGGUUAUGGGGGUGGAUGAACUGAGGGAUGGAUGGGUUAUGGGGGUGGAUGAACUGAUGGAUGGGUGGGUUAUGGGGUGGAUGAACUGAUGGAUGGGUGGGUUAUGGGGGUGGAUGAACUGAUGCAUGGAUGGGUUAUGGGGGUGGAUGAACUGAUGGAUGGGUGGGUUAUGGGGGUGGAUGAACUGAUGGAUGGAUGGAUGGGUUAUAGGGGUAGAUGAACUGAUGGAUGGAUGGGUUAUGGCGGUGGAUAAACUGAUGCAUGGAUGGGUUAUGGGGGUGGAUGAACUGAUGGAUGGGUGGGUUAUGGGGUGGAUGAACUGAUGGAUGGGUGGGCUAUGGGGUGGAUGAACUGAUGGAUGGGUGGGUUAUGGGGGUGGAUGAACUGAUGGAUGGGUGGGUUAUGGAGGUGGAUGAACUGAUGGAUGGGUGGAUUAUGGGGGUGGAUGAACUGAUGGAUGGGUGGGUUAUGGGGUGGAUGAACUGAUGGAUGGGUGGGUUAUGGGGGGUGGAUGAACUGAUGGAUGGAUGGGUUAUGGGGGUGGAUGAACUGAUGGAUGGGUUGGUUAUGGGGGUGGAUGAACUGAUGGAUGGGUGGGUUAUGGGGGUGGAUGAACUGAUGGAUGGGUGGGUUAUGGGGGUGGAUGAACUGAUGGAUGGAUGGGUUAUGGGGGUGGAUGAACUGAUGGAUGGAUGGGUUAUGGGGGUGGAUAAACUGAUGGAUGGGUGGGUUAUGGGGGGUGGAUGAACUGAUGGAUGGGUGGGUUAUGGGGUGGAUGAACUGAUGGAUGGGUGGGUUAUGGGGUGGAUGAACUGAUGGAUGGGUGGGCUAUGGGGUGCAUGAACUGAUGGAUGGAUGGGUUAUGGGGUGGAUGAACUGAUGGAUGGGUGGGUUAUGGGGUGGAUGAACUGAUGGAUGGAUGGGUUAUGGGGGUGGAUGAACUGAUGGAUGGGUGGGUUAUGGGGGUGGAUGAACUGAUGGAUGGAUGGGUUAUGGGGGUGGAUGAACUGAUGGAUGGAUGGGUUAUGGGGGUGGAUGAACUGAUGGAUGGGUGGGUUAUGGGAGUUGAUGAACUGAUGGAUGGGUGGGUUAUGGGGGGUGGAUGAACUGAUGGAUGGAUGGGUUAUGGGGGUGGAUGAACUGAUGGAUGGAUG